ACCAGGUGUGAUGUCAUGCACCUUAGUCCCAGCUAUUCUGGAGGCUGAGGCAGGAGGAUCGCUCGAGCCCAGGAGUUCUGGGCUGUAGUGUGCUAUGCCAAUUGUGUGUUCACACUCAGUUCAGCAUCAAUAUGGUGACUUCCUGGGAGCAAGGGACCACUAGGUUGCCUAAGGAGGGGUAAACCAGCCCAGGUCAGAAAUGGAACAGGUCAAAACUCCUGUGCUGAUUAGUAGUGGGAUCACACCUGUGAAUAGCCACUGCACUCCAGCCUGGGCAACUUCAUGAGAUCCUAUUGCUU
ensembl:misc_RNA Metazoa_SRP Metazoan signal recognition particle RNA